AAAAGGAGUGUGGCACAAAAUAAUACAGAAAGAGGAUUUCAUAUUAAUUAUCAAAGCAGGCCAAAAAAAAUAAGCCUGAUCUGACUGCAAAUGAGGCAAAUUGUGGCCGGUAGCAGCAUGAACCUCCUUCUCCACCAAAGGAUUGCUCAGUAAUAACAGUCUAGCAGAAACUCACCUUGAAAAAAAAAAUGUAGACAACAUGAAAAAAAGAAAGAAAGGAAGAAAAUCAACAGUCAUUCAGAGAAGUGCCAUC
rnacentral:lncRNA from 1 species